GUCCAGGGUAGCCUAGUGGACAUGGCACCUGCCCGGUAAGCAGAAGGUUGUGGGUUCGAUUCCGCCAUCGAGCCGGCCAUCGGACA